rnacentral:rRNA from 1 species
UACAGAGGUCUCAAGCGUUGUUCGGAUUCAUUGGGCGUAAAGGGCGCGUAGGCGGCUUGGCAAGUGGAAGGUGAAAUCCCUCGGCUUAACCGAGGAACUGCCUUCCAGACUGCUUUGCUUGAGGCCGGGAGAGGCGAGUGGAAUUCCCAGUGUAGCGGUGAAAUGCGUAGAUAUUGGGAGGAACACCAGUGGCGAAGGCGGCUCGCUGGACCGGUUCUGACGCUGAGGCGCGAAAGCGUGGGGAGCAAACGGG